UACGUAGGGUGCAAGCGUUGUCCGGAUUUAUUGGGCGUAAAGAGCUCGUAGGCGGUCUGUCGCGUCGGAUGUGAAAACCCAGGGCUCAACCCUGGGCCUGCAUUCGAUACGGGCAGACUAGAGUACGGCAGGGGAGACUGGAAUUCCUGGUGUAGCGGUGAAAUGCGCAGAUAUCAGGAGGAACACCGGUGGCGAAGGCGGGUCUCUGGGCCGUAACUGACGCUGAGGAGCGAAAGCGUGGGGAGCAAACAGG
rnacentral:rRNA from 1 species